UCCUUGAGGACUAGCGGUUAGGCCUCGGCACGCUCGCUGCCACGGCCCGGGUUUGAAUCCCGCCCAGGGAA